UGCAGCAAAAUGCACUAUGCAUUGUGAAUUGCAGAAUUCCGUGAGCUAACAGAUGUUUGAAUGUUACUUGUACCUUUGGGAUAUUCUUGAAGGUGUGCUUGAUUCAAUGCAAACU
rnacentral:rRNA from 1 species